CAUCUUUAAAAAGGAGGUGUGGGUGUGGAGGUGGACUUCCAGCAGGUGUGUCUUCUUAUAAAAGGCCAGCCGGGAAGCUGCUGAGUGUGGCUCUCAACUCCAGUGCACGUCUGGACCCCAGGAUUGAGCAAGUGGAAGUGAAUCGUUAACGAGUCCAGCUUUACCGUAAAGAUGCCGUACGGAUACCCCGCCUAUCGACCAUACGGUGGUGGAUGCGGACCCUAUGGAAGGCCUGCUAUUGGAAUUAGACCCGGGUUUGGCUACGGGUAUGGCAACGGGUAUGGCCACGGGUAUGGCUACGGGCACGGCCACGGGUAUGGCUACGGGCACGGCUACGGGCACGGGUAUGGGCACGGGUAUGGGCACAGACAUGGCCACGUCCAUCAUGGAUGCAGCAUACAAUAACCACGUGUGAGCUUGGAAUGUACUUGUUAUAUUGAAGGCAUGUAUAUUGUCAACUAAUAAAAAAAAUGUAUCAUUCAA